rnacentral:lncRNA from 1 species
UUGAAACUCUUGGUGGUGCUCUUUUUGGUGCUGUUCUCCAGGUCCUAUUUGACAAGCUGGAUUCUCAUCAAGUUCUGGACUACUUUCGUGGGAGAAAGCUGGAUGAGAAGCUGCUCAAAAAUUUGAGGAGGAAGUUGGUGUCCAUCAAUGCUGUGGUUGAUGAUGCAGAACUAAAGCAGUUCAGAAAUCCAUAUGUUAAAGCGUGGCUUGAUGAGGUCAGAGACGUGUUGCUGGACACAGAGGAUCUGCUGGAUGAAAUAGACUAUGAAUUCUCCAAAACUCAGUCACAACUUCAAUACCAAACCAGUUCUAACAAGGUACGCAUUCUUGAAUCCAAGCUGAAAGAACUCCUAGAUGACCUUGAAUCUCUUUUAAACCAAAAGGAUGAUCUAGGUCUCAAAAAUGUUAGUGGUGUGGGAUCGGAAUUGGGUAAUAAAGUGUUAGAGAAAAGAAAUGAAUCCUCGUCGUUGGUGGCUGAAGAGGUUAUUUAUGGCAGAGAUGAGGACAAACAAAUUAUUCUUAAUUGGCUGACAUCAGACAAUGGAAAUCAUAACCACCUUUCAAUACAUUCUGUUGUGGGUAUGGGCGGGAUGGGUAAGACCACACUUGCUCAACAUGUAUACAACCACCCAAUCACAAAGGAUAUAUUUGCUAUCAAAGCCUGGGUCUGCGUUUCUGAUGAAUUCGAUGUUUUCAAGUUAACCAGAGCAAUUCUUGAAGCAAUUCAUAAGUCAACUGAUGAUAGCAGAAACUUAGAAAUGGUUCAGGGACGAUUGAAAGAAUCAUUGACAGGAAGGAAGUUUCUUUUGGUUCUUGAUGAUGUUUGGAACGAACACCGAGAUCAAUGGAAAUCAUUGCAAACUCCACUUAAAUAUGGUGCUAAGGGAAGUAAAAUUCUUAUCACAACACGCAUUAAUAAAGUUGCUUCUACCAUGGAGUCAAACACUAUUCACAAACUAAAGCAAUUAGAAAAAGAUCACAGUUGGCAAGUUUUUGCUAAACAUGCAUUUCAAGAUGAUAACUCUAAGUCGAAUUCUGUGUUGGAGGAGAUUGGCAUGAAGAUAGUUGAAAAGUGUCAAGGACUGCCUUUGGCCCUUGAAACGGUAGGAGGUCUCUUACAGUCAAAGUCAUCUGUUUCAGAGUGGGAAGGUGUACUGAGAAGCAACAUAUGGGACUUACCAAUAGAAGAUAGUAAAAUCAUCCCCGCUUUGUUAUUAAGCUAUUACCAUCUUCCUUCUCAUCUCAAGAGAUGUUUCACUUAUUGUGCGUUAUUCCCCAAAGACCAUAAGUUUGAUAAGGAGAGCCUAAUUUUCUCAUGGAUGGCUGAAAAUUUUCUACAAUGCUCUCAUCAAAGUAAGUCUCCAGAAAAAGUAGGUGAACAGUACUUCAAUGAUCUAAUAUCAAGGUCAUUCUUUCAGCAGUCCAUUUGGAACAACCAAACACAUUUUGUGAUGCACGACCUUCUGAAUGAUUUAGCAAAAUAUGUUUCUGGUGAAAUGUGUUACAGGUUGGGUGUUGAUAGACCAGGAAGCAUACCAAAGACUACCCGCCACUUUUCAACGCUAAAGAAUCCUAUUGAAUGUGUCGAGUAUAGGAGUUUAUGUGAUGCUAAAAGGCUACGAACAUUUCUGUCCAAGAGUUGUGGGAUGUCAAUCCAAGAGUUGAUCUCCAACUUUAAGUUCUUACGCCUCUUAUCUUUGUCUUCUUGUUUCAUAGAAGAGGUGCCUGACACUAUAGCCGAUCUUAUACAUCUCCGUUCAUUAGACCUUUCAAGCACACGCAUAACAAGACUUCCCGACUCAAUGUGUUCACUCUAUAACUUGCAAGUGUUGAAGCUCAACGAUUGUAACCUUCUGAAGGAGCUGCCCUCGACUUUGCAUGAGCUCACUAAGUUGUGCCGCCUUGAACUUAAGGGAACUACUUUGAGAAAGGUUCCAGUGCUUUUAGGAAAGUUGAAAAAUCUUCAAGUAUGGAUGAGUAGGUUUGAGGUUUGCAAAAGUAGUAAUGAGGUCAGCAAUAUUCAACAACUAGGACAACUUGAUCUUCACGGAAAGCUGUCAAUUCAAAAUCUUGAAAAUAUUGUGGAUCCCUGUGAUGCAUUAGCAGUGGAUUUGAAGAAUAAAACACAUGUUGUGGAGCUAAGUUUAGAAUGGGAUUCGCAGCGGAACAAUGAGAAUUCAAUAAAAGAAAAACAAGUACUAGAGAAUCUGCAACCUUCCAAACAUUUGGAGUGGUUGUUAAUCGUUUCCUAUGGUGGCACACAAUUUCCCCGUUGGUUAUCUGAUAAUUCUUUAUUGAAUGUGGUGUCCUUAGUUUUGGUGGACUGUAAACAUUGCUUGCAAUUGCCUUCCCUUGGACUUUUGACAUUUCUCAAGGAGUUGACAAUUGACGGCCUUGAUCAGAUAGUGAGGAUAGAUGUUGAUUUUUAUGGGAAUAGCUCAUCUGCAUUUGCAUCAUUGAAAGAGUUGACAUUUAGGGGUAUGAAGGAAUGGGAAGAAUGGAAAUGCAUGUCGUGUGCUUUUCCAAGUCUUGAAAGACUUUUUGUACUUCGUUGUCCCAAAUUGAAAGGGCACUUGCCAGAGCACCUUCCCCAUUUAAGGCUUCUAAGAAUUGCUCGGUGCGAACAACUUGUGGCUUCGACUCCGAAGGCGUUAGAAAUUGAAGGUGUGAAGACGAAGACAUCUUCAUUUAAUAUAUUAGGGCUCCUCGUAUCUGAUACACCUUUUGAAUCCUUGUGGAUUGAAUCUUGUCCGGGCAUUAAUAUUCCCAUAAACCAUUGCUACCAUUUUCUUGUAGACUUGCGUAUCACUCAAUGUUGUGACUCUCUCACAAACUUCCCUCUAGACUUGUUCCCAAAACUCGGCCUCCUUAUUUUGGAAGGAUGUCAUAACCUGCAGAUGAUAUCACAGGCGCACCCUCAUUGUCAUUUGAUGUAUUUGAAAAUUAAAAAAUGUUGUGAAUUUGAAUCAUUUUCCAAUGAAGGAUUAUCUGCACCAGAGCUAAAGAUAAUUCGUAUUGAAGAAUUGGAGAAAUUGAAAUUAAUGCCUAAACUCAUGUCCACUCUCCUUCCAUCUCUCAAUCAUCUGUAUAUAUAUAAUUGUCCAGGAGUGGAAUUGUCUGAGGGAUGUUUUCCAUCAAAUAUGAAAGAAAUGAGGCUCUUUAGUUGCUCCAAACUUAUUACCUCACUAAAGAAGGGGGUUUGGGGAACCAACCCUUCCAUAGAAUUCUUGUUUAUUCAAAAUGUGGAUGUGGAGUGUUUUCCGGGGGAAGGUUUGCUCCCAGUCUCCCUUACUAAGCUAUACAUAAAUUAUUUUCCAAAUCUUAAGAAACUGGACUACAGGGGUCUCUGUCACCUCUCCUCUCUUCAGAAAUUGGUUAUUGAAAAUUGUCCAAUACUCCAAUGUUUGCCAGAGGAGGGUUUACCCGAAUCCAUUUCAGAACUCAGAAUUGAAAGUUGCCCGUUGCUCAAACAGCGGUGCAAGAAAGAAGAAGGCGAAGAUUGGGAAAAGAUUGCUCACAUUAAAACUAUAUGGCUUGAUAUGGAAGCAGUAAACAUAUAAGACGAAGCAAAAAUUGGAAAUUCUUAAGGCACCAAUUACAUGCCUACAUUUUCAUCAGGUGCCAAUUCUCAACAUUAUCUUUCAAGCAUUUCAAAUACAAUCUUAUUUAGUACAAAUAUUUUAAUCUCUAGUUCACCUCUUUCUCCACUCAUCAACUUCUUGUCUUUUUUUAAAUUUUUAUUAUCGAUAUUCUGUUUUGAAGUUGAAAUAAUUGUAAAGACUAUUGAAGUGGAUAUUUUUGUGGAAUUAGAUUGAAAGACGUGUGAAUGACGAACUGUCGUGAUUUAAGAUUUUAAAAGUAUAUAAUGUUAUUUUCAUUUAAUUUUUUUCAUUCUCAAAUACCCAUAUCAUUAACCAUAUCGUCACCCUCCGAGUUCUCGACUUUUGUGCCAUAAACCAUGUCUUUUAAGGCCUUUAUGGUUAAUUUAUUAAGAAAUAAACAAACACACAUGAAAUACAAUAGAUUUCAAAUAUAAAUAAAAAUAAUCAAUCAAAAAGAUCCAAGAAUCUUUUUAGUACUGAUGUAGCAAUCUCUAUUAGUUUACCAAGGUAAUAUAUAGUUACAAAAAGAUCUUAUCAGAAAUAUAAAUGUAAGUAUCACACGGAUCAUUGUUAUCAAUGAUUGAGAUUUAUUCAUGUAGUUAGUUAUUUAGAACUAUAACACUACUACAGAUAUGAAUAUUCUAUAAUCCUUCAGCAUCUUUUAAAAUAUAUAUGAAUGCUAUGGGAUAUUUUUUAUUUUUCCCUGUCCUUCCUUUUAUAGUAGGCAUAGCAAAUAAGAAAAUUCCAAUGCCUGCCUCAGACAAGAGGGAACAUGUUUGUGUUCCUCACAAAUUCUCAUUGACAGUAUCUGCUCAGUGGUAGAUUAAAUAGGUCAAGUUUUAAAAGUAAAUAAAUCAAUAAGAUCAAUAACUUUUUUUAUUUCCUGUUACUAUAGCUAGUUAUAUUUGGAGCAGGGGAUAAUUUGACCAAACUGUUUUUGGAUCUGUGUUUGGCAGCUGAGCAAGGCCUUAUCCUGGAAGAAAGUUAAGAGAAGAAGAUUCAAACUCUAAAAGUAGAAGAAACCAACAGAAGCCAAUGCCCAUUAGUAUAGGCUUUGAUAGUAUGCUCUUGGACAGGCUGCAGUUUUAAGCAGUGAGCGUGGCUUUUCUUUAGGAGCCAAUGAUUCACCAAGCUUAACCUCCUGCACUAAAUCUGUAUGAAAAUCUGCAGAAAGAAAUACAAAAUGCAGCAGAAAUUGAUGUAAGAAUAACUUUUAGUUUGAUUCUUUCUUGUUUCUUAUUUUGUAUGAGUGAUUGCAGCUUGCUUUUAAGCUGGGAAGAGCCUUAUGAAAGUAGGGGAUUUGUAUUCUGUUAUAUGUUUUUAUCUGGGUAGGUUAGAGCAUUCCUGAAAUAUUCCUUUUAUUUUAUUUUAUUUUUUACUGAUAAAAAAAAUAACUAGUUAUUUUUUAUACUAAAUGAAAUCACAAAUAUUACCUAAUAGAACGAGGAACCAAUUUCACUGGGAAAAGAUUGCUCACAUUAAAUACAUAUGGGUUGAUAGAAAAGUAGUAAACUAGUAGACGAAGCACAAAUUGGAAAUUCCUAAGGCACAAAUUCUCAUAUGCCUACGUUUUCAUCAGGGGUCAACUCUCCACAAUUUCUUCAUUUCAAAUACAAUCUUUAUUUAAUGCAGAUAUUUUAAUCUCUAGCUCACCACUUUCUUCAAUGAUAACUGUGACAAUAUUUAAUAAAUUUACAUGAGAAAAUUGAAUUAUUUUUUGUCUUAAUUGUCGUUUGAAAUAACAAUAAUCCCUACUUUCAGAAUUAUUGAAUCCAAAUAUUUGUUCUUGAGUCAUGAGAUAAAUGGAGUCAUUUAAUUCAAAUUUUAGAUAGUUAAGAAUGGAGGAAGGAAAUUAUUGGAAGAUUCAUGAAGAAAUUAGGAAAAAAUAGAUAAAUUGCACACUGCCUUUCGUUCUCUAAAGGGUAUUUGUUUUCUUCCACUUUUUGGUUCACUUCUAAUGAUAUUAUGUCAUUUUUUGUCAAGAAGGAAUCUACGUUUGUGCAUGUUGAUGAUAAUGUCUAAUUUAAGUAAUAUUUCAUAUUAAAAUAUAGACACUUAUGAGGAUUUAUUGUUAAUUUACAUAAAAAAAAAUAAUCUCUAAUUUAUGAAUUUAUACCUUUUUACAUUUUUUAUGAUCUUUAUUUGAAUAAGAGUAUUUUAUUCCGAAAUUUGAUGUUAAUUGCAGAUUUAUAAGGAAGAUUGAAGAUUUGGAUUAAAGAUGAAUGAUUUGAGCUAAAAAGAUAAAGAUAGAAGGUCCCAUAAUGGAAAAAGAUGCAAAUGAAGAUUGAGACUUUUUUAUGUUUUAUCAGCCCGUUAGCCUAACCCUAGAAAACUACGAUAAAUAGAGGGCUAGAGGCUCAACCUUAAGGUGCCAGAUUGAGAGGAAAACACCAUAGAGUGAAUUGUAACCAGUUGGGAGAAUGGAAGGUGCUAGAAGUAUGCGUGGCUAAUUCUACCUUUGGGAUUGGGAGUAAUCUGCUCAAACUCUUAUGUAUUGAGGAGUGAUAUCUUAUAUAUUAAUAUUCAGUUCUUGAUUGAUUAUUGGUAUUGUUGUUUUACUUUUAAUUUUCCGUGACAAAUUGAGAAUCUUAAAUCUGACCGGGAGGUAUUUUUAGGGUUCUGACCUAAACAACAAUACUUAACAUAUUUGAGUGUUAGGAAUAGUGUUAAUUGCUAUUAAACGUCUGAGCUUCGUUCUAAGUUGUGUUCUUAUAAUUAUGCGAGAGAUCGAUAGUUAGGGACAUUCUUAAGGAUUUUAUAUGCGAGAAAUCGAUAUAAAUGAUUUUUAUACAGGCAUCAAUUUCAAUCAAAUAUUGACAUGCUAAUCAAAAUACUUGAGAGUGAGAGAGAUGAAACUAAUCCUUAUUUUUUCAAUUGAAACAACUAAUUCUUUGUGUGUUUUCUUAUUGAUCAGUGCCAACACAAUUAAUCCAAAACUCUUUUAAAUGUUAUGUUUUUAUAUUUAGCGAUUAUUGUACUCGAUAAUUCACUGUUCCUUGUGGGAUUGAUAUCCGUUCUUAGGAAUAUACUAACUAUUUUUUUUUUAUGUGAAUAAAUUUUUUAGUUUUUGAUUUUUUUUAGAAUUGUAUAUUUUUGUAAAGAUUUUGUUUUUAUUUUUAGAUGUGAAUAAUUUUGUUUUUUUUUUUAGAUUUGUAUAUUUUUUAUUUUUAUUUUUUUUAAAGAUUUUGUUUUUUUUUUCUAGUUUUGAAUAUGUAAAAAGUUUUUUUUUAGAUGUGAAUAUGUUUGUUUUUUUUUUUUGUAAAACUGUUAUUUUUAUGUUAAUAAUUUUUCUUUUAACUUUUUUUUAUUUUUAUUUGUUUACUUUAUUUAUUUUAUUUUGAUUCUGUUUUGUUAUAUUUUAUUUUAUUCUUUACUUCUUUAUUUUUAUAUUGUUUACGUAGUUUUUUUUACUGUAAUUAUUUUAUUUUAUUUUUAUUUUUAUUUUUAUUUUUAUUUUUAUUUUAUUUUGAUUUGGAUUUUGUUUUAUCAUAUUUUAUUUUUACGUUUAGCUUAAAUUGUUUAUUUAGAGUUUACGUUUCUGUUUAAGUAGUUUCUGUUUUACUAUUAGUUUCUGUUUUAUUUUUGUUUCAUUUUUAUAUUAUUUAGUUAUUUUUCUUAAUAGUUAUUUAUUUAGUUUUUUAUUUUUUAGUUUUUAUUUUACGCAAGUUUUUUUUCUAUCUAUAUAUUCUGUUUUAGUUUUCUUAGUUAGUUAGUUAUUUAAUUUUUUUUAUUUUGCAUAUUUUUAGUUUUUAUAUAUUAUUCUUGUUUUUAUUGAUUUUAUUUUUCUCUUUGUUAAAAAUUAUAGUUUUAUUAUUUUAUUUAGUUUUUAUUUAAGUUUUUGUUUCUUUUAUUUUAUUUUUUUGUUCUGUUUUUCAUUUACUAUUUAUUUCUCUUUCUUUUGUUAUUUUAAAUUUUCUGUUUUUCUUUAUUUCAUUUUUUUAAAAAAAAAAAAAAACUAUUUACUUGUUAUACUAAUCUUUGCUUGAGUUGUCUUAUGAUAUGAAGAAAACAAGUUUUUAUAGAUUGAGCAAUUGAGAAGACAACUCGGAAGAAUAGAAGUUAAAAGUAAAGAAAAGAGAAGCAAGGAGAGAAGUUAGAAAAGACUGAGAGAUGAUGAUGACGGUACCAAUCACUCCUAUCAGAUAAGUCCAACUGGUAAACCAUGGAGAAUUUCAAGGGAAACCCUACCUAUGUUAUGUAUUUUGACCUGAGGAUAGGUUCUAAUAUUCAGGGGGCAGAUCCAGCAAAUGAAGCAAGACUGUAGAUAAAGAUUUUAACAAAAAGCUGGAUGACUUCUUAAGAAGAGAGGAUUGAGCAAAAAUAUGGUUUUAUCUUUCUAAUUCUCUUUUCUUUUCAAAUUAUUUGAAUUUUAUCUUAUUUUAUUUAUUUUAUUUUUUGGUUAUUUUGUUUUCUGUUUAUUUGCUUAUUUGUUUAGUUUGUUUUUAUUGCUUAUUUUGAAUAAAUGUCCUGUUUUGUUAGUUUGGUAGUUUUAAGUCUUGAAUGAUCUUUCUUGAAUAAAUUUCAGUUUUAAUUUGUUUAUUUUCUAGUUUAUUUUUUCAAAUAAAAAAGAACUAGAAUAUUAAUUUUGAAUUGUGGAAAAAAGAAUUUGUGUUUAAAUAUUAAAUAGUGAGAUGAAUUAGACACAGGGUAGAAAAGAAAAUAUGACUGAAUCCCUAUUCAAAUGUAGUUAAAAUUAUGAUACAUGAAAAUAAUGACAAGAUAAUUGAUUAGGACAAAUAAUGACAAGACAAGAAGGAAUGAGACCAUUUAAACCAAGUGAGUGUGUGAACCUGAAACAGUUUUUGAGAGUUUUACUGAUGAAUUGACAGUUGUGGUUGCUUAAUUUUUAUUUUAUUUUUGUUGCAUCAUAAAAGAGCAGGAAGAUGAUUGAGAUAUUUGUUUGUGUUAAUUAGGAGCCAGGGCCAAAAAGCCAACCCUUUAUAUUAGUAUUCCAUUUUUUUUAUAUCCCCUUGGGCCAAGAAAUUUUUUUGUUGUUAAUAUUGCACCUUAACAUUUAUUGAUAUAAUUUCCUACCCUUUAGCAUGUCUAAGGAAGGAGAACAUAGAUGCAAUACAUAUAGAAAAGGGAAUGGUUGGUUCUGAUUGUGAAAGUUCAAAAAGUUUAAAAUAGGAAGAAUUUUUUCCUAUUAUUGAAAAAAAAAGAAAAAAAAAACAAGAAACAGAAACAGAAGAAGAAAAAGAAGUAGAAAAGAAAGAUAGUAAAAUUUCAUGAAAAGAAAGAAAAUGAGGAAAAAGGUGAUAUCGAAAGAAAGUGGUAAUUAGAUAACAUAUAUGUUCUCUAUAAUUGAAUUGUAGGUAUGUUCUUCUCCUUUAAUAUGUGCCUUUUGUUAUCUAAGAAAAACUAAUAUUUUUUGGAAGCCCAGCCUCAUUACAACCCUGGAAAAGACCUCAAGAUUCAUGUUUCUAAUAUGUUUGUGAUUAGGGUGUUAUGGUUGUGUGCUGGUGCUGACAAGUUGUGAGGUGACACGGAGUGUCCAAUGAGGAGAAUAAAUGAAAUCAAAUAAAAAAAUAUUGAUUACCUAGGUAGAGUAAUAGAGGUUGUUACAUCAUUAAUGGAAAGAUUCUUGGAACUCUUUGAUGUAGAGAAUUCCUCUAGGAUCAUUCUUCCAACUAAAAAUGGUGGGUUCUUGGGUUUUGGAAGGGCCAUUGAUUGCAUCACUUGCCAACAUUACAACAUCAGACAUGGCUGAUCUAUCUUUUGCAUCUUCUUGAACUCACAACAAACCAAUCUGUAUGCAUCUCUCAAGUUCACUGCCUACAAAGGAUUUUUCCAGCGUUGGAUCCAUCAUUUCCAAACAUUUUCCUUCACACCAUAUUCUCCAAAAUCCAAAAUCUGAUAUUUUUGGAUUCAUGUCAUGUCUAAUAAAACAUUGCUAUCUUUGAGAUCUCUGUGAAUUACUUUAAGUCGAGAGUCCUCGUGAAGGUAUAAAACACCUCUUUCAAUUCCAUUGAUAAAGUUUAAUCUUAAUUUCGAAUCAAAAAGCUUUUUCCUCUCAUCAUCUGAGAACACAAGAACAGAGAAGAAAUUAAGCAACAAUACAGUAUUUGAAGCAAAAUCUAUCAAAUACCAAAUGAGAUUUGGCCUUAUCCUGGGAAAAGAAUUAUUUUAUAUUUUAUCCUUAAAGAUAAUCUAUAACAUGAUCAUUCAUUACAUGAUAUAACUUGAAUUUAGUUUCAUGUUAUGAAAGGAGAAGAAAAUGCUAUUUUGGGUAUUAUUACCCUGUUUUGUUGUUCUUGUUCUUAAAAUCAAGAGUACUAUAAAGUACUUUAAAGUCCAUAAUAGAAUGAAUUGACUUGUUAAUCAAUAGAUAUUUUUAAAAAUUACAGUGAAAAUAUGCAUAGGAGUGUUGUGUUCUUGUAGAGUUCAAGAUUAACACUCUUACCUGUUUUUGUAAAUUCUCAGUAAGUACAAACCUCAUCUUAAACAUCAAUUUUAUAUACUCUGAUAAAAUAUUUAAACUUAAAGUUCCCUUUCUAAUAAUAUAUACUCUGAUACAAACAGAGUAUAUAUAAGAUCUGUCCAGUGAAGAGCUAAAAGCUAUUUUUCUUCGUCAUAUCCCUGAACAAAAUAUUUAAUUUCUAUAAUUAAGAAAUUUAAGAAAAUAGAUAUCAAUCCACAAGAAGAAACUCGAAAGUAUUAGAAUUUAUAUGUACAACUACUAUACUAAGAAUUAAUUUCUAAUCCAAUAACACAAUCCUCCUUAAAUAAAUUCCGUCAUCAUUUUAAUAUAACUUUAACUGUAUCAAUAAGGAAUUUUGAUUUUAGUAUAUCUAAGAUAUUUAUUGAUUUAUUAUUUUUAUACUAUGCUUAACUUUUCUAAAUAAAUUUGAGCUAGCUAGAGUAAUAGAAUCAUGACUGAUUCAACUCUGUCAAUGUCUAAAUAAAAGAAAAAUUGGAUCACCAGACAGGGAAACAAAAAAAUAGGAAAACGAAGGAAGAUAAAAUUGAAAACUGAGAAAAAUAAAUAGGGAUUGAUACUUGAGAAAGGAAGGAAAGAAAUGAUCUGAGUUGGGUUGCUUUUUAGUAAUGUUUGAGUUGUUUAAUUAGUUUUUUGAUAGGUAAGUUAGGUAUGGAAUGUCUAUAAAUUUAAGAGUUGAGACAUAAUUAAGGUUCCUUGGAUUUAAUAUAAGGAGUUGAGAUAUUUUCAGAACAUUAUCCAAACUCAACUACUUUAUGCACGUGAUCGUAUUUGUGUGGUUCAGAACACUCAAAAACAAGGAUUGAAGUAAAGCCAUCGUGAAGAAUUCUCACCUUCACUCCAACUUUCACAAUCCUUUCUUCUCUUUCAUUUUCCCACUUCCUUUCCAACCAUGUCAGACCUUGAAACUAUUGGAGGUGCUGUUCUCCAGGCACUAUUUGACAAGCUCGAUUCUUAUCAACUUCUCGACUACUUUCGUGGCGGAGAGCUCGAUGAGAGGCAACUGAAACAGUUGAAAAUGAAGCUGAUGGACAUCGAUGUUGUGAUUGAUGAUGCAGAACAAAAGCAGUUCACUAAUUCAUUGGUCAAACAAUGGCUUGAUGAGGUCAGAGAUGCAUUGUUGAUGCGGAGGAUCUGUUGGAGCAAAUAGACUAUGAAUUCUCCAAAACUCAGUUGAAACCUGAAUUUCAGAGCAGUUCUAGCAAGGUAAACAAUUUUCAAUCCGAGAUGUUAGAACUCCUAGAUGAACUAGAAUCUCUCUUAAACCAAAAGAUUGUUCAAGAUUUCAAAAUUUCCAGUGGUUUUGGAUCUGGGUUGGCUAAUAACGUGUCAGGGCAAAUAAAUGAAUCCUCAUUGUUGGUGGCACAAGAGGUUAUUUAUGGCAGAGAUGAGGACAAACAAAUCAUACUUAAGUGGGUUACUUCUGAGAGUAACAAUCAUAACCAGUUGUCAAUACUUUCUAUUGUAGGUAUGGGUGGGAUGGGUAAGACCACAAUACUUUCUAUUGUAGGUAUGGGUGGGAUGGGUAAGACCACACUUGCUCAACAUGUAUACAAUGACCCUAAGAAUAAGGAAGCUAAAUUUGACCUUAAAGCUUGGUUCUGUGUUUCAGAUGAAUUUCACGUUCUGAGGGUAUCAAAAGCAAUUAUUAGGGCUUUCACUAAAUCAAAAGAUGAUAGUGAAGACCUAGAAAUGGUUCAUGGAAAACUGAAAGAAAAAUUGACUGGAAUGAAGUUUCUUCUGCUUCUGGAUGAUGUCUGGAACGAAGACCGAUAUCAAUGGAAAUCAUUGCAAACUUCUCUUAAAUAUGGUGCUAAGGGAAGUAAAAUUCUUGUCACAACACGCAUUAACAAAGUUACAUCUACCGUGGAGUCAAACAAAAUUCACCCACUAAAGCAAUUACAAAAAGAUCACAGUUGGCAAGUUUUUGCUAAACAUGCAUUUCACGAUGAUAACUCUAAGUCGAAUUCUGUGUUGGAGGACAUUGACUUCAAUAUAGUUGAAAAGUGCCAAGGACUGCCUCUGGCCCUUGAAACGGUAGGAGGUAUCUUACAGUCAAAGUCAUCUGUUUCAGAGUGGGAAGGUGUACUGAAAAGCAACAUAUGGGACUUACCAAUAGAAGAUAGUAAAAUCAUCCCCGCUUUGUUAUUGAGCUAUUACCAUCUUCCUUCUCACCUCAAGAGAUGUUUUACUUAUUGUGCGUUAUUCCCCUUGUCCAGAUCACUAACUGGUUCUAAUCUUAAAACCGAAGUUCUAAUUUAUUAAUAAUCACAAAACAAAAUACAUAAAAAAAAAUUUAAAUACUAGAAAAACUAAACACCUAGAAGUUAGAAAAAUAAGAAACUAUAAAAAUAAUAAAAUUCAAAAUAAAAUAAAAAUAAGACAAAGCAAAAUCAAAAUAAAAAAAAAUCAGAAUGACCUUUUUCAUCCAAAAUAAAGACCAAAAGAAUGUCUUGACCUUCUCGUGGAACUUAGGUAGAAAUCUGGAAAGAGUUGCAGCUUCCUGUUCAGACAUUGGAGUUCCUUGAGGUUACUCGAACUCCUCAUACUUAAGAUGACCUCACACUUUUCUAGAUUGGUCUCAAUACCUAGCCUAAGAACUUUACGCCACCAAUAUUCCUGAAGAAGCAUUUUUUAGGGUUGAGACACAUAUUGUGUGCUCAAACUUGGUUAGACACUUUCUCCAAGUGGAUUGGAUGGUCUUUGACUGUCACUGAUUUAAUUACCAUGUCAGCAACAUAAACCUCACGAUAUUAUUGAUGAGGUCUUUGAACACUUUUUCCAUUAGUAGCUGGCACAAGCAUUUUUAUGGUCAAAAGACAUGACCUUGUAACAAAAGUUGAACCCUUUUGUCAUGAAUGCAAUCUUUUCUUCAUUAUACAGAUACAUUCUGAUCUAAUUGUACCUAAAAUUGGAACCAAGAAAGUUGAACAACUCGAAACCUUAAACAUUAUCCAUGAGCCAAUCUAUACUUGGAAGGGGAUAUGUGUCUUUUGGACAUGUCUUGUUUAAGUCAGCGUAAUCAAUGCACAUUCUCUACUUGCCAUUUUCUCUAAAUCAACUGCUAGUCUUCUCUCCUUUGUGAGCUUGUGUUUCCUUUGGGCCAUGGGCUUUGCCUGGGGUUGAAUGACAAGCUUAUGACACAUAAAGUUAGAGACUAUGUCAGGCAUGCAUGCUAGAAUCCAAGCAAACAGGUCGACAUUACAGAUGAGGACUCUUUCAAUAUCAUUCCUUAAAGCACAGUUGAUCAUCUUUCAGAUCCUAGUGAGUUGAGUGGGUAGAUGGUCGAAUUUACCGUGAUGAUGGUCAUCAAAGGUAGGUCGAUUGUCUCUAAAUUCUACCCUAAGGUCGAAGUCCAUUUCAUCUUCUACUGGAGAUGUCAGGCUAAUCUCCUUGACAAUAAGACAUAUUUGGAUGGUGCCACAUUCUCCUGGUAAUGUAUUCCACAACGAAAAAUUAUUUCCAUUGAACAUCUAUAUCUCAUUUUUUUUCCAUGGAUCUAAAAUCGAUUUAUGCACUUCUUGUUGAUUUUGGCUUAAUCCCAAUUCCCACAUCAGUGGGUUUGUUUGGGAAGGAGGUUUGAGGGUUAUAAAUUAAACUCUCCUCCUUCACUGUUAAAUAUUCCAAUUUGUAAUAUCUUCUCCCAUAAUAAUAAAAGCGAGUUGUUUUUGCUGUGCUCGGAGAUUAGGCUAAACAGACCGAACUCCGUUAACAAUUUUCGGGUGUGUUUUUUCUUCUUUAUCUCUUUUAUUAUUCCGCUUUAUUUAUUCAAUAUUAUUUGUCGGGUAGCUCUGUUAGGGUUUUGUUUUAGUGGGAAAAGUACCUGUUUUUCCGAACAAGUAGUAUCAAGAGCCGAAGGUUCGCCUUGGGUUGUUUGAAAUUGUUUGUAAUAUUGAAUACAAUAUUUUGAGUUUGUGAUGGCAAGAGGUCGUCAGCAAAGUCAGACAAAGGGGAGAAGAGGGAGGUCUAAGUCUAAAGGUCGAGUCGUUGCCAAAGAUGAGUGUGCUUUCUGUCAUGAGAAAGGACACAGGAAGAAAGAUUGUCCAAAACUGUAGAAGAAAGGGAAGGCUCCACAAGAUGCAAAUGUUGCAGAAUGCAAAAGUGAUGUGGAAUCAGAUAUUUCUUUAAUUGUCUCGCUUUCAGCAUCAUCGUAUCCAGAUGAGUGGAUAUUGGAUUCAGGUUGUACCUAUCAUAUGUGUCCCAUUCGGGAUUGGUUCUUNNNNNNNNNNNNNNNNNNNNNNNNNNNNNNNNNNNNNNNNNNNNNNNNNNNNNNNNNNNNNNNNNNNNNNNNNNNNNNNNNNNNNNNNNNNNNNNNNNNNGAUGGAUCCACCAGAAUUUUGCGGGAUGUACGGUACGUGCCAAAGUUAAAGAAGAAUCUAAUCUCAUUGGGGGCUUUAGAAUCUAAAGGCCUAGUUGUGACGAUGCGAGAUGGAAUUCUUAAAGCAACUUCAGGAGCACUGGUGAUGUUGAAAGGCGUGAGGAAGAACAAUUUGUAUUACUAUCAAGGUAGUACAGUGGUGGGGACAGUAGCGACAACAACUUCUAGCUCUAAGAAGGAUGUUGAGGCAACGAAGUUGUGGCAUAUGAGGUUGGGACAUGCUGGAGAGAAAUCCUUGCAAAUUCUUACCAAGCAGGGAUUGUUGAAAGGUACGAAGGCUUGCAAACUUGAAUUUUGUGAGCAUUGUGUUCUGGGAAAACAACGAAGAGUGAAGUUUGGCACUGCAAUUCACAAUACCAAGGGUAUUCUGGAUUAUGUGCAUUCAGAUGUGUGGGGACCUGCCAAGACUCCGUCAAUCGGAGGUAGGCAUUAUUUUGUCACUUUUGUUGAUGAUUUUUCCAGGAGAGUUUGGGUGUUUACUAUGAAGAACAAAAAUGAUGUGCUUGAAAUUUUCCUUAAGUGGAAAGCUCAAGUUGAAAACCAGACAGGAAGGAAGAUUAAGGUUCUCUGAACAGACAAUGGAGGAGAAUACAAGAGUGAUCCGUUCCUGAAGGUAUGCCAAGAUUGUGGCAUAGUUCGGCACUUCACUGUUAGAAAAACACCACAACAGAAUGGGGUUUCGGAGCGUAUGAACAAGACACUUGUGGAGAAAGUUCGUUGUAUGUUGUCUAAUGCUGAGUUAGGCAGAGAGUUUUGGGCUGAGGCUGUGACAUACGCUCAACAUCUCGUCAAUCGUUUGCCAUCAUCUACUAUAGAUGGAAAAACCCCGUUAGAGGUAUGGUCUGGAAAACUUGCAACUGAUUAUGAUUCUUUGCAUGUUUUUGGUUCUAUUGCAUAUUAUCAUGUGAUUGAAUCAAAGUUGGAUCCACGGGCAAAGAAGGCUCUUUUCAUGGGCUUUAGUCCUGGAGUGAAGGGAUACCGUUAGUGGUGUCUAGAGGCAAAGAAGACGAUUAUCAGCAGGGAUGUUACCUUUGAUGAAUCUUCCAUGUUAAAGAAGGUAAAUCUAGAAGGAGCUGAUAUUACUCCACAGCAGGUGGAGUGUGCCCAGAAGCAGGUGGAGUUUGAGCAGACAGUGGUGAUCCCAACACGAAAUACCACAAGUGACUCUCCUAUGACAGAAGAAGAGUCAGAUGAGGAAGAGGUUCCUGCCCAAGAAUCUCAACAGCAAUCAGCGUCAAUUGCAGUUAGAAGACAGAGACGAAACAUUCAUAAGCCUGCUCGUUUCAUUGAUAUGGUUGCCUAUGCACUUCCAGUUGUUGAUGACAUUCCAUCCACUUACCCAGAAGCCAUUCUGAGUUCAGAGAGUGGUAAUUGGGCAGGUGCGAUGGAAGAGGAGAUGCAGUCUUUGAAGAAGAACAAGACGUGGAAGUUGGCACAAUUACCAAAAGGUAAGAAGGCAAUUGGGUGCAAAUGGGUAUUUGCAAAGAAAGAAUGAUUUCCUAAUAAAGAAGAUGUUCGCUACAAGGCAAGGUUGGUUGCUAAAGGCUUUGCUCAGAGAGAGGGAAUUGAUUAUAAUGAGGUAUUUUCUCCAGUUGUUAAACAUUCCUCCAUUCGAAUUUUGUUGGUCUUGGUAGCACAGUUGAAUUUGGAGCUUGCUCAACUUGAUGUAAAGACCGCAUUCCUACACGGUGAUUUGGAGGAGGAAAUCUAUAUGACUCAACCAGAAGGAUACAAGGUUGAUGGUAAAGAAGAUUGGGUUUGUAAACUUAGCAAAUCGUUGUACGGACUGAAACAAUCUCCGAGACAGUGGUACAAACGAUUUGAUAAGUUCAUGAAGGAUCAGAAGUACAAGAGAAGCAAAUAUGAUCACUGUGUGUAUUUGCGCAGACUUGAAGAUGGUUCCUACAUUUACUUACUCUUAUAUGUUGAUGAUAUGCUGAUUGCAGCAAAGAGCCAAGUUGAGAUUGACAGGUUAAAGGCUCAGUUGAAUAAAGAGUUCGAGAUGAAGGAUUUGGGGGAAGCCAAGAAGAUUCUCGGCAUGGAGAUAAACAGGGACAGGGAGAGGGGAAAACUUUGGCUGUCACAGAAGCAGUAUUUGCAGAAGGUACUACAACGUUUUGGUAUACACAAAGAUACAAAACCUAUAAGUACCCCACUUGCUCCUCAUUUGAAAUUGAGUAGCCGUUUAUCUCCGACGACUGAUGAAGAACGAGAAUACAUGGCGAAAGUCCCAUAUGCAAAUGCGGUUGGAAGCNNNNNNNNNNNNNNNNNNNNNNNNNNNNNNNNNNNNNNNNNNNNNNNNNNNNNNNNNNNNNNNNNNNNNNNNNNNNNNNNNNNNNNNNNNNNNNNNNNNNNNNNNNNNNNNNNNNNNNNNNNNNNNNNNNNNNNNNNNNNNNNNNNNNNNNNNNNNNNNNNNNNNNNNNNNNNNNNNNNNNNNNNNNNNNNNNNNNNNNNNNNNNNNNNNNNNNNNNNNNNNNNNNNNNNNNNNNNNNNNNNNNNNNNNNNNNNNNNNNNNNNNNNNNNNNNNNNNNNNNNNNNNNNNNNNNNNNNNNNNNNNNNNNNNNNNNNNNNNNNNNNNNNNNNNNNNNNNNNNNNNNNNNNNNNNNNNNNNNNNNNNNNNNNNNNNNNNNNNNNNNNNNNNNNNNNNNNNNNNNNNNNNNNNNNNNNNNNNNNNNNNNNNNNNNNNNNNNNNNNNNNNNNNNNNNNNNNNNNNNNNNNNNNNNNNNNNNNNNNNNNNNNNNNNNNNCGUUAUCACUUUGUGCGUGAGAUUCUCGAAGAAGAGGAGAUUGUUCUCCAGAAGAUUCACACUACGGAGAAUCCUGCAGAUAUGCUCACCAAGGUGGUUACAAGGACCAAGUUUGAACACUGUUUAGACUUGGUUAAUAUCUUGCACAUUUGAAGUUGGCGCCCGAAGGCGCAAAUUUGAAGCACUACAAAGUUUGUUUUUGUUAUGUUUUGAGAAGAUUUGUUUUAGGUGGGACUUGAAAUUAAGCCAAGGUGGAGAUUUGUUGAUUUUGGCUUAAUACCAAGUCCCACAUCGGUGGGUUCAUUGUUUGGGAAGGAGGUUUGAGGGUUAUAAAUUAAGCUUUCCUCCUUCACUGUUAAAUAUCCCAAUUUGUAAUAUCUUCUCCCAUAAUAAUAAAAGCGAGUUGUUUUUGCUGUGCUCGGAGAUUAGGCUAAACAGGCCGAACUCGGUUAACAAUUUUCGGGUGUGUUUUUUCUUCUUUAUCUCUUUUAUUAUUCCGCUUUAUUUAUUCAAUAUUAUUUGUCGGGUAGCUCUGUUAGGGUUUUGUUUUAGUGGGAAAAUUACCCGUUUUUCCCAACACUUCUCACUAUGAAUAGUAUUAUUUACUGGUAUAAUGGCUAUAGAUUGUGAAAUAGUACAUCAGGUAAGUUUCUAGGAAAGAGAUGUGAGUCAUAAAUGGACACGCUUAAGUACCAAGUUUUUCAUUGUCAUAAUAUUCCUAGACAUGCCUUUUUACACUACCACACUUUAUAUUUAAUAACAAGAAUAAUUCAUUUCUGAUGUGACAGAUCAUACUAUAGUUAAUAUAAAAGAAGAAGUUGAGAGGUUCAUGAUGACGAUGAAGCCACAAUCCAGCUUCUAGUGAGUACCAUAAGACUUGUGGUCUCAGAACAAUUUUAACUAGGCCCAUAGUGGGUGUCAAAUGUUCUUACCAAGGUUGAGCUGAAAUCAUCUAAGAUGGAUGCACAACCUAUAAGGGCGAAUUGACCUCUUCGAGGAAGGGUUGUCAAACUUUGAUGAUAAAAAGCGAGUGGUGAUCCACUUGUAAAGGAUUCUCCAAAUAUUAAGGUGAUUAAUCUAUUAUUAAAUUGGACUAAUUUCACUAGCACAAAAUGUAUAAACAAUGACUAUUUAUUUAAUGCAGUUUUAGGGUUAGCCGUUGUCAUUCAAAAUGCGGUGGUAUUUUUGAAAUUAAUUUCAUUUACGAAUGCGGCUAUUUGUAAUAGCUGCAUCCUUAAAUCAAAACGCAUGAUUUACGAAUGCAACUAUUUAAAUAGCCGCAUUCUUAAAUCAAAGCGCAUGAUUUACGAAUGUGGCUCUUUAAAUAGCCGCAUUCGUAAAUCAAAGCGCAUGAUUUAAGAAUGCGGCUAUUACCAAUAGCCGCAUUCUUAAAUAAUUUUUUUACCCUAAUUUUGAAGCGCGUCACUUACGCUUUCAUACUUUUUUUUUUUGGCGCUUCGCGUUUUCUCUUUGUUUCUGCUAUGGUGUUUCUCUCUUCUGCGAGUUUCAUUGUGUUCUCGUACCAAUGUAAGUUCAUUUCGAUUCGGUUUAUACAUAUUUUUUGUUUCACUUAUUUGUUUGUUUUCUUGCAUUGGCGAAGGGUUAUUUGACGCUUCAUUUUCUCUUUUGUUUAUGCUCUCGUGCUUCCUCUCGUUUUCUACGAGCCUUCAUUGUCUUCUUUGUGCCAUUGUAAGUUCUUUUCGAGUUCUCUUUCUUCUUCACCAUUGAUUUAUAUAUAUUUUUUCGUUUCUCUUAUCUAUUUGUUUUCUUGUAUUGACGAAGGUCACCAGCUUCAUUGUCUGCUGUUUGGAUUUUUGCUAUGCCAUAUUUGCUCCGUUGUUGCUGUUGCCACCGCUGUUGCUGCCUUAGGGUUUACGGUUUUAAUUUUUUUAAAAAAAUUAAAUAAGAAUGCGAUUAUUUACCAUAGUCGCAUUUAUAAAUCGCAUUUACGAAUGCGACUAAAUAACCGCACUUGUAAAUCUUCGAUUUAAGAAUGCGUGCUGAUCAAGUGCGGCUAUAUAACCGCCCUUGUAAAUGUAAAAUAGCCGCACUCGUUUGACCUGUCUGCACUACUGUUUCUAUUCUAACAAAUGAGUUUUUAAUUUGCAGAUGGUUUGACAUGUCAAAUGGAUAUUAUAUUAUGAAUAUUUUGACAAUGAAUUGAAUAGUACAAUAAUAUAUAUAUAUAUAUAUAUAUAUUUAUUAAAAUGACAUAAACAUUAAUUUAUAGUUAUUAUUCCAUAACCCUACAAUUAAAUAAUAUUAAUCACAAAAAUUGAACAAUGUUGUUUUUUCUUGUUCGUUUUCACAUGCUCAUGCGUUCAUACACUGUUCUUGUUUAGGCUAAUUAAUGUAAAUGAUGAUCUUGUAUACUUUUCCAUACACAUAUUUUUCAAAGUAUUUUCUAAUAAUUUUUAGUCAUUGGCGUGUUAGUAAUACAAUAUUUGGCUAGAAACAAUGUAUUUACUUUUUGACUAAUAGGGAUAUGUUGUUACUAGACAUGAACACGGAUGAAGUAAGAUGAAAGAAUAAUAAUCUCUUAUACUUAUUCAAAAUCCCAAACAUUAAUUUGCAUUAAUAAAUAUCUUCCUCUUUUGUGGUGAAGUACCCAAGUAUAAAUAUUUAUUUUCAGUCAUUUGACCCUUUUAUUAAUAAAAUAAUAUUUUAAAAAUUAAACUAUCAAAAAAAUUAAUUUUCAAAAUAUGGUGAACUGAACAUUUAACAAGCCAACAAUAUUUUGUUUGAUAAAAGAUCCUUACAAAAAUAUUGCAUUAUUUUUACUAUUUAUUUCUUAUUUUUAAUGUAAAAUUGAUAAAAUAACAUAUUAUUGUUUAUAUAACUUUGUUUUACAAUUUUAAAUAAUAAUAAAAAUCACCAUUGUGUAUUUAUAUACUUUUGAAUGAAAAUAUAAAAUAAUUUUUAAAUAUAACACGACACGAAAAAAAAAUUAGCGAAAGUUUUUUACUAAAAAUUAAUAUAAUCUUAAUAUUAAAUAUAAUUAACAGAGACUUUUUUUAAUCUUAAUUAAGUUGUAUAUAAUCUUAAGAAAAUUAUCAAGAUUUAUUUUAAAUUAUAUUUUAUUUUUAAUUUCCAUCUAAUUUUGAUCUCAUUUUUCUGCUCUUUCCCUAUAAAAAUCAGUACCACAGACCUCACCCCUGCUCUUCGUUUCACAUAUUUCAUUUCAAAUGUUGAAAGCAGGUUCUACCUUAUUCCACAUGCACCAGUGCAAAAAUUGUGUUUAACGAUAUUGUGUAUCCAUCAAAAUGCAGUGACACUUUUAUGAUUAUUACAAAGAUAUAGACCCCGAUUAUAAAAGGCUCUUAACUUGUUCUUUCUUUCUUUCUUAACCUCUACAUGGAAGAGCUUUCAUUUAUAGAAGUACUAAAAAAACCAUUGUAAUCUUUGUAUUAUAAAGGAUAAUGUUAGAGUUUUACCAUAAGUUCACGACUUCAUGUUCACAUAUUUUUGGCAGUGUGCUGUCUACCAUUGGUUUUUGGCAGGCUUCUGUUCUCCUGAAACAGUGGAAGAAGUCUGUGUACUGCAGCUUCACCAACUCUUUUGGAGUAGGAUUAUACACAGAAUUUAAUGCUUUGGUGGUUUUGUAUGAGAACCAUUUGUUUGUUAGGCUCUAACCAUAUCUGUGUAGUCGGUGGUCGUCGAUGUUAUGCAACGCUCAACAUGAUCGCCGGUAAUUAAAACGACGAUAGUCAAUAUGAUCAUCGAUCGAGGAAGCGGCGUUCUCCAUAUGUGUGUAGUCGGUGGUCGCCGAAGUUACUUGAAAUGGCGUGCUCCAUAUGUAUGUAGUCGGUGGUUGCCAAAGUUAUACAAGGUCAACAGAAUCACCGCUCGAUGAAACGGCGAUCUCAAUACGUGCGUAGUCGGUGGAUGUCGAAGUGAUGCAAAGGCUAACAUGAUCGCCGGUCGGUGGUCGUCGAAGUUAUGCAAAGAUAAUCGCCGGUCGAGGAAGUGGCGUGCUCUUUAUGGACGUAGUCGGUGGUCGCCGAAGGCAAUGUGCAUGGGUAACUCGUCGCGUGGCGAGGUGAAUGUAGAAGGCAUCGGUUGUGGGCAUCUCGAGUUGUAAGUUGCUUAAGGUAACCUGUUGGCUGUUUUUUGGGUAUGGUUGUCUCACUUUAAGGUUGCUCUACCACAACCAUAAAGGAGAGUCUUUUGUGUGGAUGAUGUAGGAAGUCCACUUCUGGGUUACUGUAUAUGGGUUGGGAUACCCCUGAAGUAUCCCCUUAAUUUUAUUUAUUCAUUGCUUAUAAAAAAAAAAAAGCUCUAACCAACUUGAGGCCUUUUUGUGGUCUUGGUCGAUUUAUGGUAGUAGUGUAGGUUUACCUCAUAGCAUUUACCUGUUCAUGGUAUUUGGUUCUGGUUUUUUUAUAUGGGUUUAGGGGUGUCCCAUUUUAAUUUUAAUUUUUUACUGAUAAAAAAAAGUUCACAUAUUUUAUUGUUGAACUAAAACAGAUGUGUAAGGUGUACUUUUUAUUUUAAUUUUUAUCUCUGUUGUAUAUUUUCUUCAGUUGACAGUAUCAUAUCAAAUAUACUAACUUUGCCAUCAGAUAUCAAAUAUACUAGUUUUUGACAGUAUCAUAUCAUAUAAAAAAAAUCUCCAUGCUGAAUGAUGAAUCACUAAAUAUCACCUGAUAGAACUAGGAAACAAUGUCACUUAAUCUCAAAAAAGCAGUUCUGCACAUACAAAUAAUUAGAUGUAGAUGCAGUCUCAAACUGUGAGAUUCAUCAGACUUGAGAAACAUGACAAAGAUUCAAACCACACAUUACUAUGUAAAGUUCUCUACGUUGUUUACAAACAAGCAGUGAUGCAAAAAUAGCAUAUGGAAGAAAUCAAAAUUCUGCAAGUUGUGAACGAACCCCUUAGACAUGCAAACAUGGGCAGACUUGUACACUUGAAAAUUUGAAGCUCGAAAUGUAAUGUGUUGCAGCUGGGUCAGUCGGGCAUGUAAUGUAUGUGACUUAAUAUCUGAUCCAAUUAUUUCCAUUACAUUGGAUUCAAUGUCUUCAUCCUGAGGUCCUUUAAUACUACCAUUCACAACUAUAAUCAAAGUCCAAAAUAAAUCAGUGACAUGAUACUUACCUUCAACAGGAAGAAGAUUGUUCACAAAAACGACAAAAAUAUUAAGACUAACAGUCAACUACUUGAAACCAUUUAAUUCAUCAAAUAUAUUUCUUGUUACGCUCCAAACCAUUCUGAAUAGGGAACAACUCAAGCUAAAAGAAAAAAAAAGGGAAAUGGACCGAUUUAAUAGUGGGUUGGGGUGUCUUUAUUCAUAAAGUAAGCCACCGAAAUAGACUAAUUCACUCAAGUUGGUAAAAACGACUAUGAAAGCCACAUGGUGCUGUCGGCAAUAAUCAUCAACAGCUACUGCUUCCUGCCCAUCACUCCUUUAUUGAAGCAAAUCCAUCUCCAACAAAAUUCUCACUCCUUCAUUCACGUCACUGAGCUUCACUUCCAAUUUUCACACCCCUUUCUUCUCUUUCAUUUGGCCACUUCCUUUCCAACCAUGCCAGUCCUAGAAACACUUGGCGGUGCUCUUUUUGGCGCUGUUCUCCAGAUGCUAUUUGACAAGCUCGAUUCUAAUCAAAUUCUCGACUACUUUCGUGGGAAAAAGCUCGAUGAGAAGCUGCUGAAAAAUUUGAAGAGGAAGUUGGUGUCCAUCAAUGCUGUGGUUGAUGAUGCAGAACUAAAGCAGUUCAGAAAUGCAUACGUUAAAGCGUGGCUUGACGAGGUCAGAGACGUGUUGCUGGACACAGAGGAUCUGCUGG